UUACGGUCAUAUCACGUUAAAACAUCGGUUCCCGUACGGUCACCGAAGUUAAGCAAUGACGAGCCUGGUCUGUACUUAGAAGGGUGACCAUUUGGGAAUACCAGGUGCUGUAA